rnacentral:rRNA from 1 species
CACGUAGGGGGCAAGCGUUGUCCGGAUUUAUUGGGCGUAAAGAGCUCGUAGGUGGCUUAGUAAGUCGGGUGUGAAACCUCCAGGCUCAACCUGGAGACGCCACCCGAUACUGCUAUAGCUUGAGUCCGGUAGGGGAGCGUGGAGUUCCUGGUGUAGCGGUGAAAUGCGCAGAUAUCAGGAGGAACACCAGCGGCGAAGGCGGCGCUCUGGGCCGGUACUGACACUGAGGAGCGAAAGCGUGGGGAGCAAACAGG